UAUUUUUGUUGUGUUUAGCAUGUUGAUGCAGCUUUGGAGUUGAUGAAAACGAGGAAGGAAAGCAAUCCAGAAUUAUUCAAAAACAAAUCAGUUGUAUUUGUUGGAUCGUCUUUCUUAAAUGUGAUUGAUGAGUCAUACAUGGAGUUUUUGGAUAACAAAGAGGGAUUUCAGUUUCAGUCUGAAGAAAUCAGUAAGCUGAUAAUAGAGGAAGAAACCAAGUGCAUAUUGGCUCCUUUCUGUAUCAAAGGAAAAUGCUGGGAUUUACAAGGGAUUUUAAAAGUUUUGAAAAGUGGUUAACAUGGUUUACAAAUCGUUUUAAAGCAUAAGUAAGUAGCAUAGAAUAAUUUACAAAGGAUUUUAAGAGCUUUGAAAAGUGGUUAACAUGGUUUACAAAUCGUUUUAAAGCGUAAGUAAGUAGCAUAGAAUAAUUUACAAGGGAUUUUAAAAGCUUUGAAAAGUGGUUAACAUGGUUUACAAAUCGUUUUAAAGCGUAAGUGACAUAAAUCUAUCACGAAAGCAUAUGUAAAAGAGGUAAACACUAAAUCAUAACCAAAAUCUAUUACGAAAUAGUAUAACAAAUUCACAUAAGCAAAUCUAUCACGAAACAGUAUAACGAAUUCAAAAGGUAUUAACAAAUUUACAAGGAUUUUAGAAACAAAUUCAAUCAUCAAAUCUCAAACAAAAUUCAAAUUCGAAGCUGAAGCAAAUGUCAAACUGUCGAUUGAAUCAGGAUUCAAAUAACGAAUUCACAUAAUCAACAACAAAAAUCGAAUAAACCAAUUCGAAAUCGAAGAUUUAAGCUAACAUUAUAAAAUCAAACCUGGGAAACGCAAGAGAUUCGACGGCUACACACAGCUCUACUUACGACGGCGAAGAUGGGUUUUCACGGCGAGUAAACUCACUAUUUCCGACGGCAUGGGAUUCAACGGCAUUCACAAUUUCCGAUGGAGGAAGAAGAGAGAGAGUGGAGAAAUGAAUUAGGUCUGUGGGUAGCUCAUUAAGGGUAAUUUGGGGAGAAAAGUAUUAGAAAGAGUAGAAAUGAAAAUAGGAAAAAAGGGUAGAGUUGCAAAAGGGCAUUGAGAAAAGGGCAUUAGAGUGAAUUAUUCAAAAUACAAAACAUGUCAUUCAAUUAUUUACUUUU
rnacentral:sRNA from 1 species